ensembl:misc_RNA Y_RNA Y RNA
GGCUGGUUCGAAGGCAGUGAGUUAUCUCAACUUAUCCAACUCCUUGUUCUACUCUUUACCCCCUUUCUCACUACUGCACCUGACUAGUCUAAA